CUAAUGGCUGCAAUCAACAUUCAUUGCUGUCGGUGGGUUUUCAUUUCUAUCAACUCACUGAUCAAUGAAUGCAAACUGCGGACCA
rnacentral:pre_miRNA from 12 species